AGUUAUGUAAUAAUUUUACUAAUAUCUUAUUGAGAGAGUCAUGGAGGUUAUGGGAUUAGCUUGAAACCAGUUUCUGGGCUAAUUGGAAGCAGGUACAAUGAAGCUCUAGAGAAGCAGCUCAGGAAGCUGGGAGACUGUCCAGAACACUAUCUUGGGCAGAAGUCAGCCCACCUUCACUUCUGUUCUUUUACAGGAGGCGCUAGCCCCUCUCAAGCCUCACAUGAGAAUCCAACACAGCUGAGGGCUAAGUGACUGCGAGCCUAGAAGAUGGAGUAGGACAAGGAGUAGCCAAAGGCAGUGGAGAGAGGCAGGCGGGGCAAAGCCUGGAAUCUGGAGGUCAAUACACAUGUAUUUCAAUCCACAAUUGCUUUGGCUACUGACAUAAAUCAAAGGAAAAAGGAGGGAGAUGCAGGGAGAAAAUGUAAACAGCCAGCUCUACCACCCUCUGAUUUUUUUUUUUUUUUACCGGUCUAUGGGAAGAGGAGAUGAAUGCCUGCUAAAGCGACCAGAAGGCUCUCAGUAAAAAGUAUUAACAAGGUAUCAAUUGAAUCUGCAAAACAAAGAGGUGCUUGAAGGAUAUGAAAGAGGAAACCUGAAGGGAAACCCAGACGGCACAUCGCUCUUCUGGGCUAGGUAGAUGGAAUGUACAGCCAGAGGAUUGCAUGAGGUCAUCCACGGAGAGAACGCAGAGAGACUCCUGGGGCUCACCAACACAAAGAAUUUGGGACAAGAAAGAAGAUCCAGCAAAGAAGACUGAAAGAAGGCAGCUAACAAAAUAGGAGAGAACCUGGAGAGUUUAGAGUCCUAGAGGCCAAGAAGGUGGUUUACUAUAAUCCCUAUCGAAGCAUGCGUGGUUUAUUUUUAUUAACUGACAAAUGCUUCUAAAACAUACCUGAAAAGUAUAAUUAAUGCACACCUAGGAUAAUGGAUCAUUCUGCCACAUCAUUCCUUUUUCACAACUGAUACGGACAUGAUAUUUUCAUGACUUUGUAAAAUAAAAAUGAAAUCUUUCUAAUUUUUUU